rnacentral:rRNA from 1 species
AAGCGGAGGAACAUGUGGUUAAUUCGAUGAUACGCGAGGAACCUUACCUGGCUUAAAUGUAGAGUGCAUUUUUUAGAGAUAGAAAUUCCCUUCGGGGCUUUCUGCAAGGUGCUGCAUGGUUGUCGUCAGCUCGUGCCGUGAGGUGUCGGGUUAAGUCCCAUAACGAGCGCAACCCUUAUCGUUAGUUGCCAGCUGGUAAAGCAGGGGACUCUAGCGAAACUGCCACCGUAAGGUGAGAGGAAGGUGGGAUGACGUCAAAUCAGCACGGCCCUUAUGUCCAGGGCUACACACGUGUUACAAUGGCCGGCACAGAGGGCAGCUACCUGGUGACAGGAUGCUAAUCUCGAAAACCGGUCUCAGUUCGGAUCGAAGUCUGCAACUCGACUUCGUGAAGCUGGAUUCGCUAGUAAUCGCGCAUCAGCCAUGGCGCGGUGAAUACGUUCCCGGGCCUU